rnacentral:rRNA from 1 species
CCUACGGGGGGCGGCAGUGGGGAAUUUUGGACAAUGGGCGCAAGCCUGAUCCAGCCAUGCCGCGUGAGUGAAGAAGGCCUUCGGGUUGUAAAGCUCUUUCGGCCGGGAAGAAAUCGCAUUCUCUAAUAUAGGAUGUGGAUGACGGUACCGGACUAAGAAGCACCGGCUAACUACGUGCCAGCAGCCCCGGUC